UGAUUAUGGCUCAGGAUGAACGCUAGCUACAGGCUUAACACAUGCAAGUCGAGGGGAAACGAUAUUGGAAGCUUGCUUCCGAUAGGCGUCGACCGGCGCACGGGUGAGUAACGCGUAUCCAACCUGCCCAUCACUUGGGGAUAACCUUGCGAAAGUAAGACUAAUACCCAAUGAUAUCUCUAGAAGACAUCUGAAAGGGAUUAAAGAUUUAUCGGUGAUGGAUGGGGAUGCGUCUGAUUAGCUUGUUGGCGGGGUAACGGCCCACCAAGGCGACGAUCAGUAGGGGUUCUGAGAGGAAGGUCCCCCACAUUGGAACUGAGACACGGUCCAAACUCCUACGGGAGGCAGCAGUGAGGAAUAUUGGUCAAUGGGCGAGAGCCUGAACCAGCCAAGUAGCGUGCAGGAUGACGGCCCUAUGGGUUGUAAACUGCUUUUAUAAGGGAAUAAAGUGAGCCUCGUGAGGCUUUUUGCAUGUACCUUAUGAAUAAGGACCGGCUAAUUCCGUGCCAGCAGCCGCGGUAAUACGGAAGGUCCGGGCGUUAUCCGGAUUUAUUGGGUUUAAAGGGAGCGUAGGCCGGAGAUUAAGCGUGUUGUGAAAUGUAGAUGCUCAACAUCUGCACUGCAGCGCGAACUGGUUUCCUUGAGUACGCACAAAGUGGGCGGAAUUCGUGGUGUAGCGGUGAAAUGCUUAGAUAUCACGAAGAACUCCGAUUGCGAAGGCAGCUCACUGGAGCGCAACUGACGCUGAAGCUCGAAAGUGCGGGUAUCGAACAGGAUUAGAUACCCUGGUAGUCCGCACGGUAAACGAUGGAUGCCCGCUGUUGGUCUGAAUAGGUCAGCGGCCAAGCGAAAGCAUUAAGCAUCCCACCUGGGGAGUACGCCGGCAACGGUGCAACUCAAAUGAAUUGACGG
rnacentral:rRNA from 1 species